CGGAGGGGCAAGCGUUGUUCGGAAUUACUGGGCGUAAAGGGCUCGUAGGCGGCCAACUAGGUCAGACGUGAAAUCCCUCGGCUUAACCGGGGAACUGCGUCUGAUACUGGAUGGCUUGAGUUUGGGAGAGGGAUGCGGAAUUCCAGGUGUAGCGGUGGAAUGCGUAGAUAUCUGGAGGAACACCGGUGGCGAAGGCGGCAUCCUGGACCAACACUGACGCUGAGGAGCGAAAGCCAGGGGAGCAAACGGGAUUAGAUACCCCGGUAGUCCUGGCCCUAAACGAUGAAUGCUUGGUGUGACGGGUAUCGAUCCCUGUCGUGCCGAAGCUAACGCAUUAAGCAUUCCGCCUGGGGAGUACGGUCGCAAGGCUG
rnacentral:rRNA from 1 species